CAUUGUACUCUUCCAUCUCCUAAACUCUUGUCCUUGGAGGCAUAUAUAUUGGUGUUAUCAUUAUUUUUCCUCCUUUUGUUAAUACCUCAAUAGCUACUAAUUCAACUUUGUUUGAUAUGUCACACUCAACUUUUUUUUACUUUUAAGUCUUUACUGUGUGUGUGUGUGUGUGUGUGUGUGUGUGUGUGUGUGUGUGUGUGUGUGUGUGUGUGUGUAUACACAUGUGCAUUACCUAGUUGUAUUUACCUAGUUGUAGUUUACAGGGCCUGAGCUAUGGUCAUCUGGUCCCAUCUCCAUAUCUACACUUGUCCAGGUUUUCCUUUAACUUGUGCACACUCGUUGCCAAUACUACAUCUUCACUUAGCUUGUUCCAAACUUAUAUAUUUCUCUGUGGGAAACUAUAUUUCUUUAUGUUAUUCAAGCAUCUCCCUUUUCUUAUUUUUUUUGCUGUAAUCUUAUGUGUAUCUGGUAUUUUAUACUUCUCAUACCAGUAGUUUCUCAUUAUCAAUUUUUUUCACUCUAUUCCACAAUUUAUAAAUCAUUAUUAAAUCUCCCUGUUCUCUUCUUUGUUCCAUUGUUAGCAAAUUCAUUUCCUUUAACCUGUCUUCAUAUAUUAAUUCUUCCAGGUCUGGUGACCACAAUGAUUCAGCAUAUUCCAGCUUUGGUCUAAUUAUAGUGGUAAUUAUCUUUCUCAUCAUAAAGGGGGAUUCACACUUGGCAAUUCGCUGCUGAAUUGUCAGCCGCCGCAAGCCACAUUGGCCCACCUGCUAGACUUCUGGUGUCUGGCAGCUGGAAUUGCCAGCCGUGCCAACAAGACUGACAGCCAGAGUAUCCCUUGAUAAUCAAUCCCAAGAGUUAUCUGCAAAAAUACCCCAAAGAACAGCUGGUCUAUUUAACACCUCACUGUCAAGAGGAGCUGCUGGUGUAUGACCACAAUGCUGUUUACAUUAUUGGUGGCAUUGUUGACAAGUCCUCAGGAGAACCACUGACCCUCGCCAAGGCCAAGAGGGAGGGAGUCCGAAUGCAGAAACUUCCAUUGGAUAGGUAUUUGGCAUGGGGGAUUGGCAACAAGUGCCUUACACUCAACCAGAUCAUUAAUAUCAUGUUGGACUUUAAGAUGACAGGUGAGUGUGCAUGAUUUGAGAUUAAGCUCAUACACUCUUGUUUUCAUAUCCUCUGUGGAAAUUAAAUGAUAAUAGGAUAGUGAUCUUAAAUUCUGAGACUUAACCAUCUCUCUAGAGCUUAUAAUACCUAGCUGCAAAACUAUUAUGGAUUCAAGGAGAAAAUAAUAAAUAAUAAUAAACCUAAAAAAAAAAGAUAGGAAAUGUUGACAGCCAGCUAGUGUCCAUUGUUCUGCUUGGGUUGCAUAAGAGGAUUUUUUUCCACUGUCCUGUUCUAUGUAUUAACUUAAUAAUGUUCAGUUCUAUGUAUGAAACAAUUACUGGAGCACAGUCUUUAAGUUGGAUGAUAAGGAGGCUCACUGGUGGACUGACUCAACUCAAAAUAUUAUUAUAUACAUCAUGUAUCAUUUUUUGCUCUUGGUCUAACUUCAUAGUUUUCAUGUGAUAUAAUGCAUAUCACUCCAUUAGAUUUACCCCAGCUAUUAUUGAUCCUUCAACCUUAAGAUCAAAGAGUUAAGAGGAUAAUUUACACACUGGGGCCUAGCAAAUGAACUUCAGUCUUCAAGCAGCCUUCUGCUGAGUUCAAGAUGGUCUUGUACUGGUAUGACAAGAUGCAUCCACAAGAUUACCUGUCAACUAAAAUUAGAUAACCUCCCUAUAUUUGGGAACAGUAUUCCAUAUUUGGACAUAUAAAACUCAUGUUUAGAGUAAUCAACUGGGAGGAGGAAGAAUAUUGGCAGAAGUGACACAAGAACACUUAGUUCUUCUCCUUACCAUUCUCAUUCAGUGCCAGUCAUAAUAUAUCCCUUUCUUACCAUUCUCAACCAAUGCUGGUCAUAGUAUAUCACUUCCUUAUUGUUCUCAUCCAGUGCCAGUCAUAUCAUAUCCCUUUCUUGUCUUUCUCAUCCAUUGCUAGUCAGAAUACAGUCUGUGCCAGAAAAGGGUAUAAAAAUCUCAAUCAGCAUGCCAUCCAACUAGUUUGAUCAAGUUGCAUGGGAGAGCAAGGCUCUGAUAUUAUCUGACAUGACAACUCAAGACAGACAGUGGCCUUGGGUACAUUGACACAUUAAUGGUUUUAGUAUAGAUCUGACAGAUGAGUGAUGAGAAGUCUUUUAUGUGUGCACACCUGUGUUGACUUUCGUAAGUUAAUGUUAUACAGUGGAACCUUGGUUCUUGAACUGUUCAAAAUAAAAAAUGUUAAAAACCCAAACUAUUUUUCCCAUAGGAAUCAAUAUAAAACAGGUUAAUCUGUUCUGAUGCACCUACCCACCAUGUCUUAGUGGCCAGUGAUCUCAUUGCUAAGAUGGACACUCCAUAACAUCUCCAGCUUAGAAAUUUUCAUCCAUAAAGGAUGUACUGAAUGAACUUGAUGACACAGAACUCAUUAAAAGAUAUUGUUUAGACCAUGCAGGCAUUCUCUUUGUCACUGA